UUACGGCCGUAUCACGUUGAAACAUCGGUUCUCGUACGAUCACCGAAGUUAAGCAAUGUCGAGCCUGGUCAGUACCAAUAUGACUGACUGCUUGGGAAAAGCAAGUAGUGUA